AGGGAUUGGGGAUAGGGUCGAAAAGGCGCUUGCGAUGCUUCCGGUGUUGCAGCGUCUAUAUGUUACAGUAAUCGCUUGCCGUUAGGUGAGCCGUACGCUUGUUUGCCGAUAUAAUU